GCAGAGCAUCCUACGGGAGGCAGCAGUGGGGAAUAUUGCACAAUGGGGCGCAAGCCUGAUGCAGCCAUGCCGCGUGUAUGAAGAAGGCCUUCGGGUUGUAAAGUACUUUCAGCAGUGAGGAAGGUGGGUAUGUUAAUAGCAUAUUCAUUUGACGUUAGCUGCAGAAGAAGCACCGGCUAACUCCGUGCCAGCAGCCGCGGUAAUACGGAGGGUGCGAGCGUUAAUCGGAAUUACUGGGCGUAAAAGCGCAUGCAGGUGGUUUGUUAAGUCAGAUGUGAAAGCCCGGGGCUCAACCUCGGAAUUGCAUUUGAAACUGGCAAACUAGAGUACUGUAGAGGGGGUAGAAUUUCAGGUGUAGCGGUGAAAUGCGUAGAGAUCUGAAGGAAUACCGGUGGCGAAGGCGGCCCCCUGGACAGAUACUGACACUCAGAUGCGAAAGCGUGGGGAGCAAACAGGAUUAGAUACCCUGGUAG
rnacentral:rRNA from 1 species